ensembl:lncRNA
UUGAAAAGAUGUUCUCACAGCACCUCACGAAUUCAAAUGAUCCAGCUCUAUCAUCUCACUCACCACUGAGGUUUUAACGGUGGCAUUAAAAAUGAGUGGAACUGCAGGUGGCAAAAUGCUUGGCAUCUCCCAGACUGCAGCACUGUUGUGCCUACCUCAAGGAUCUGAAUUUCAGUCUGACAACACUACAACAAUUCAGAACCGUCAUCUCAGUAUAUUCACAGCAGCAAUGCCAGCCAUGUGCCCAGGUCCCCUGGAUUGCUCUAUGAUCUUCUCUCAGAAGAUGACAUAACUUUAUUAACUAC